AAAUAAGAGUAUGAGCCCUGGUGAAUAUAAAUACUCCACCACCUCCAACAGCGCGGCCUAAAAGCAUAUUCUUAUCCAGAUAAGAAAGGUAAUAGAGGCCCCCCACAGAGUGUCUCUCUGGACUGGUCACUGGAACUCGAGCUUUGAAACUUCGAAUAAACUGCAGUAUCUGUAAACUUAAAAAUGACCUUGGCAGAAUUGCUGGAGCUAUUACAGCUUGCAGAUCGUCACUGAUGUUAAUAUUUUGAAGACCUAUCUCCUCAAACUUGAGGUAAAUAUUACGAGCAGAAACGGAAGAAAAUCUGGCAGUUACUAUCAGAGUAGCACCUUCAUUCUCCUCUAAUAAUCGUGGAACACUCCAUUUGAUGACAUUGCGUACCAAUCCUCCACGGGAUUCAUUCUGGCACUCAAAUUUCUGGAAAAUUUGACCCACCUGAAAGAAUGGAAGCCUAGCAGCAGAUUCAAAAAGAAUGAGCACGUCUGGUGCAGAUGUAUACUGCAACCGCCAUGUUCCGUCCAACUUACUCAAGUCAAUUUCCUUGCCAGCAUCAAAACCUUCAACCACAACCAUAGCCUCCUCAAUGGUGGAUCGUUGAUCAGCAGUUGUCACUAGGCCUCGUUGCGUAUCUUGGAUGAUAUUAAGCAGUUCAUAUUUUCGGUUUUCCAAUUCGUAUUCAGCAUCUCUUGCAACAGUCAUUGAGGCAGAUGACAUGGAUGUAGCCAAACAUGUAACUCUUCCAUGGUUGUGUACUCUUCUUAUGGUGUUUGAAAAGGAGACAACAGGUCUCACGCAUACGGCAGAGCCGAAACCUGAAAUCAUUGGGUAGCGAUUAAAGUCUCAAAUGAGGCAUGAAAGCUCAAAUUAGAAUCAAUCCUAAAAGCUGAGAUUCUCAAAAUGCUUAAUUUAGCACUAAAACAUCUCAAAUUGUUUUUAGCAAAAGAAGAGGCUGAAAGUUU
rnacentral:misc_RNA from 1 species